rnacentral:tRNA from 1 species
GGCGGCGUAACUCAGUUGGCUAGAGUAGUCGGUUCAUACCCGGCCUGUCAUCCGUUCGAGUCGGAUCGCCGCUACCA